GACGAACGCUGGCGGCGUGGAUUAGGCAUGCAAGUCGAACGGUAUCAUCUUUUCGGGGGUGAGAGAGUGGCGAACUGGUGAGUAACACGUAGGUUAUCUACCCUCAAGACGGGGACAACCCAGGGAAACUUGGGCUAAUACCGGAUGUGAGCAACUUUUAGUUGUUUGAAAGGUGGCGUAAGCUGUCGCUUGGGGAUGAGCCUGCGUCCUAUUAGUUAGUUGGUGAGGUAACGGCUCACCUAGGCAAUGAUAGGUAGGCGGCCUUAACGGGUGGUCGCCCACACUGGGAUUGAGAUACGGCCCAGACUCCUACGGGAGGCAGCAGUCGAGAAUAGUCUACAAUGGUCGGAAGACUGAUAGUGCGACGCCGCGUGAACGAUGAAUCCCUUCGGGGUGUAAAGUUCUUUUAUAUGUGAGCAGUGCUUCUUAUAUUAACAGUAUGGGGAGAGAGAUAUUAGCAUAUGAAUAAGCAACGGCUAACUCCGUGCCAGCAGCCGCGGU
rnacentral:rRNA from 1 species